UUAAGCGACUAAGCGUACACGGUGGAUGCCCUGGCAGUCAGAGGCGAUGAAGGACGUGCUAAUCUGCGAAAAGCGCCGGCGAGGUGAUAUGAACCUUUGACCCGGCGAUGUCCGAAUGGGGAAACCCAGUGUGAUUCGUCACACUAUCGUUAACUGAAUACAUAGGUUAACGAGGCGAACCGGGGGAACUGAAACAUCUAAGUACCCCGAGGAAAAGAAAUCAACCGAGAUUCCCCCAGUAGCGGCGAGCGAACGGGGAGCAGCCCGGAGUCUGAAUCAGCUUGUGUGUUAGUGGAACGGUCUGGAAAGUCCGACGGUACAGGGUGAUAGUCCCGUACACGAAAAUGCACAGGUUGUGAACUCGAAGAGUAGGGCGGGACACGUGGUAUCCUGUCUGAAUAUGGGGGGACCAUCCUCCAAGGCUAAAUACUCCUGACUGACCGAUAGUGAACCAGUACCGUGAGGGAAAGGCGAAAAGAACCCCGGCGAGGGGAGUGAAAAAGAACCUGAAACCGUGUACGUACAAGCAGUGGGAGCCUCUUUAUGGGGUGACUGCGUACCUUUUGUAUAAUGGGUCAGCGACUUAUAUUCUGUAGCAAGGUUAACCGAAUAGGGGAGCCGAAGGGAAACCGAGUCUUAACUGGGCGUUAAGUUGCAGGGUAUAGACCCGAAACCCGGUGAUCUAGCCAUGGGCAGGUUGAAGGUUGGGUAACACUAACUGGAGGACCGAACCGACUAAUGUUGAAAAAUUAGCGGAUGACCUGUGGCUGGGGGUGAAAGGCCAAUCAAACCGGGAGAUAGCUGGUUCUCCCCGAAAGCUAUUUAGGUAGCGCCUCGUGAACUCAUCUUCGGGGGUAGAGCACUGUUUCGGCUAGGGGGCCAUCCCGGCUUACCAACCCGAUGCAAACUACGAAUACCGAAGAAUGUUAUCACGGGAGACACACGGCGGGUGCUAACGUCCGUCGUGAAGAGGGAAACAACCCAGACCGCCAGCUAAGGUCCCAAAGUCAUGGUUAAGUGGGAAACGAUGUGGGAAGGCACAGACAGCCAGGAUGUUGGCUUAGAAGCAGCCAUCAUUUAAAGAAAGCGUAAUAGCUCACUGGUCGAGUCGGCCUGCGCGGAAGAUGUAACGGGGCUAAACCAUGCACCGAAGCUGCGGCAGCGACGCUUAUGCGUUGUUGGGUAGGGGAGCGUUCUGUAAGCCGUUGAAGGUGGCCUGUGAGGGUUGCUGGAGGUAUCAGAAGUGCGAAUGCUGACAUAAGUAACGAUAAAGCGGGUGAAAAGCCCGCUCGCCGGAAGACCAAGGGUUCCUGUCCAACGUUAAUCGGGGCAGGGUGAGUCGACCCCUAAGGCGAGGCCGAAAGGCGUAGUCGAUGGGAAACAGGUUAAUAUUCCUGUACUUGGUGUUACUGCGAAGGGGGGACGGAGAAGGCUAUGUUAGCCGGGCGACGGUUGUCCCGGUUUAAGCAUGUAGGCGGAGGUUCCAGGUAAAUCCGGUACCUUUUUAACGCUGAGGUGUGAUGACGAGGCACUACGGUGCUGAAGUAACAAAUGCCCUGCUUCCAGGAAAAGCCUCUAAGCAUCAGGUAACACGAAAUCGUACCCCAAACCGACACAGGUGGUCAGGUAGAGAAUACCAAGGCGCUUGAGAGAACUCGGGUGAAGGAACUAGGCAAAAUGGUGCCGUAACUUCGGGAGAAGGCACGCUGAUAUGUAGGUGAAGCCCCUGCGGGUGGAGCUGAAAUCAGUCGAAGAUACCAGCUGGCUGCAACUGUUUAUUAAAAACACAGCACUGUGCAAACACGAAAGUGGACGUAUACGGUGUGACGCCUGCCCGGUGCCGGAAGGUUAAUUGAUGGGGUUAGCGGCAACGCGAAGCUCUUGAUCGAAGCCCCGGUAAACGGCGGCCGUAACUAUAACGGUCCUAAGGUAGCGAAAUUCCUUGUCGGGUAAGUUCCGACCUGCACGAAUGGCGUAAUGAUGGCCAGGCUGUCUCCACCCGAGACUCAGUGAAAUUGAACUCGCUGUGAAGAUGCAGUGUACCCGCGGCAAGACGGAAAGACCCCGUGAACCUUUACUAUAGCUUGACACUGAACACUGGUCCUUGAUGUGUAGGAUAGGUGGGAGGCUUUGAAGCGUGGACGCCAGUCUGCGUGGAGCCGACCUUGAAAUACCACCCUUUAAUGGCUGGUGUUCUAACGUAGACCCGUAAUCCGGGUUGCGGACAGUGUCUGGUGGGUAGUUUGACUGGGGCGGUCUCCUCCCAAAGAGUAACGGAGGAGCACGAAGGUUAGCUAAUCCUGGUCGGACAUCAGGAGGUUAGUGCAAUGGCAUAAGCUAGCUUGACUGCGAGAGUGACGGCUCGAGCAGGUGCGAAAGCAGGUCAUAGUGAUCCGGUGGUUCUGAAUGGAAGGGCCAUCGCUCAACGGAUAAAAGGUACUCCGGGGAUAACAGGCUGAUACCGCCCAAGAGUUCAUAUCGACGGCGGUGUUUGGCACCUCGAUGUCGGCUCAUCACAUCCUGGGGCUGAAGUAGGUCCCAAGGGUAUGGCUGUUCGCCAUUUAAAGUGGUACGCGAGCUGGGUUUAGAACGUCGUGAGACAGUUCGGUCCCUAUCUGCCGUGGGCGCUGGAGAAUUGAGGGGGGCUGCUCCUAGUACGAGAGGACCGGAGUGGACGCAUCACUGGUGUUCGGGUUGUCAUGCCAAUGGCACUGCCCGGUAGCUAAAUGCGGAAGAGAUAAGUGCUGAAAGCAUCUAAGCACGAAACUUGCCCCGAGAUGAGUUCUCCCUGAGACUAUAAGUCUCCUGAAGGAACGUUGAAGACGACGACGUUGAUAGGUCGGGUGUGUAAGCGCAGCGAUGCGUUGAGCUAACCGAUACUAAUGAACCGUGAGGCUUAACCUU
rnacentral:rRNA from 1 species